rnacentral:lncRNA from 1 species
GGGAAGGGGCAAAGUGGUCAGAGAAGGUUGCUCAGAAUUGUCGUUUAUUGUCAUCCCCCACUAGAUUAUAAACUAGGUAAGAAUAGAGGCUGUGUCUUAUUCUUCAUUCUGUCCCCAAGGCUGAGUCUAGUGCAUGGCACAUAGUAGAUGCUCAUUGAAUCACAGUUUAAAUGAAUGUUGAAUAGAGGUCAGAUAUGUGUACAUGUGGAGCAAGAGAACAAGGUGUCAUCUUUCUCUUAUGUUUAGGCAUUUUCAUGAAUGUAGCCCAUAAUGAUGUUAAAAAAUAAUACACCAUGACCUUAAGUCAAGCAGAGGUUGACCUUAAAUCAACCAUCAGACAGAGGAACUAGAAUUCCAGACUUUAGUAAAGUGAUUAUUUGCCUUCACUGGCCUCUAGAUGGGAGAAAGGAUUUGCCUUGACAUUAUACGAUUCGCCUCGACAUUAUCCCUUUCUGUUCUGAGUUUUCAUGGUCUGUCAGUGAAAUUCAGUGAAAGACAGAGAAGGAGAGUUUGCAUAAAAGAAGCUCAACUUUAACUGAGCCCCUCUGGGAAA